CAUGCUCUCAAGCAUGAGGUUCUGCCAUGUGGCUCUCUAAUCUUGCAUAUAGCCUUCCACAUUAACUUCUUCUUGCCAGACAAAAGAACGUUUUAAAGUAGCCAUAAGUUGCGACUAAAACACCAUCCAUUGUAAAAAACUCAAGCUCAUCUUUAAUAGCUUAUGUAAACCAUGAGAAUUAGUUAAUGGGCAAUAAAUAAUAUGCCAUCCCUUUUCACCUCUGAGUCUCUGACUCUUCCAGUUCUUCAGAUGCUUCAGCUACCACCCCCGGAAUUAAAUUCCUUUAAGAUUUCCAAUUUCUCUUUCCUCUCACACUGUUUUUUACCAGUAUGAACUCAAGUGGAGCUUGGGUUUGGUUAAAUCAUUGGAGCUUGCGACCCCAAAUUCUUUGGCCCGCAGUGAAGAGGCUUUUAAAGGCCUUUGUAUUAAAGGAUUUGAGGAUCGUUAAUGGCAUGUUGUGUCUAUGGAGGGCUAUAGUAUAAUUACAAUUCCAAUGUCACAGAAGCUGAAAUGGAGUUCACUGUACAGAAGCUGCCAACGCAAUUUUUGGUCCAAAAUACUCUCUACUAGCAAUGACAAAGUGAGCAUUUGGGUCAGUAAUGAGCUUGAGGCAGGACAUCCAUUUUGUGAUAUUAAUUGUAACAGAUCAUGGAGAACACAUAUCUUGAAGAGCUAAGGGAAAAUAGAGAGGAAUAGAUGUUGCCAUUAAAUGAAUGCAAAAUAGUUAUUUUACGUGUUGCUCAUUGGAGCAAUGAGCAAGGAAGAUUGUUGAGAUUUCUUUCCUUCGAUGGUUCUAUCAAGUGAAAGUUAAUGAUUAAUUGUAAGGAUAUGAACGAGUCAAUUAUGAAAGUUUCAAUUGCAAUGUGAAAGUCAAGGUGCCUAUUUAACAUUUCA